rnacentral:rRNA from 1 species
GAAUCUUGCGCAAUGGCCGAAAGGCUGACGCAGCGACGCCGCGUGCGGGAGGACGCUCUUCGGGGUGUAAACCGCUGUCAGGUGGGACGAAGGUCCCGGGGCGGAAAUGCCCUGGGGAUGACGGUACCACCAGAGGAAGCACCGGCUAACUCCGUGCCAGCAGCCGCGGUAAUACGGAGGGUGCGAGCGUUGUUCGGAAUUAUUGGGCGUAAAGCGCACGUAGGCGGCUCGGUAAGGCUCACUGUGAAAGCCCGGGGCUCAACCCCGGGAGGCCAGGGGAUACUGUCGGGCUGGAGACAGGCAGAGGCUGGUGGAAUUCCGGGUGUAGCGGUGGAAUGCGUAGAGAUCCGGAGGAACACCGGAGGCGAAGGCGGCCAGCUGGGCCUGAUCUGACGCUGAGGUGCGAAAGCGUGGGGAGCGAACAGG